GAUGAACGCUGGCGGCGUGCCUAAUACAUGCAAGUCGAGCGAACAGAUGAGGAGCUUGCUCCUCUGACGUUAGCGGCGGACGGGUGAGUAACACGUGGAUAACCUACCUAUAAGACUGGGAUAAUUUCGGGAAACCGGAGCUAAUACCGGAUAAUAUAUUGAACCGCAUGGUUCAAUAGUGAAAGACGGUUUUGCUGUCACUUAUAGAUGGAUCCGCGCCGCAUUAGCUAGUUGGUAAGGUAACGGCUUACCAAGGCAACGAUGCGUAGCCGACCUGAGAGGGUGAUCGGCCACACUGGAACUGAGACACGGUCCAGACUCCUACGGGAGGCAGCAGUAGGGAAUCUUCCGCAAUGGGCGAAAGCCUGACGGAGCAACGCCGCGUGAGUGAUGAAGGUCUUCGGAUCGUAAAACUCUGUUAUUAGGGAAGAACAAAUGUGUAAGUAACUGUGCACGUCUUGACGGUACCUAAUCAGAAAGCCACGGCUAACUACGUG
rnacentral:rRNA from 1 species